GUGUAAACCUCUCUUUUCACGAUUUUUCCAAUUGGAGACUUGGGGAUUCUUUUGGCUACAGUAUUCUUCUUUCUCUCUAGCCAUUAUUUUUGUUUUGCUCUGGGUUUUAUUGUUCAUUUGCUACAAAGAUUUUAAUAUUUUUGAGUCAUCCCUUUUGGUUCCAAGAAAUUUUGCCAAUUCCCGCUUCUCAAGAUUUUUGUUGUGCUCUUCUGUUCGUCUAAUCAGGAUCUUAAGGUUCUUCCGUUAAAAUGAUUCAUCGACUUCGGCAAGAGCAGGAUUUUUCAAUUAGUAGCUAUGGCCGUUUUGAAUUCUGAAAUUGAAAAAAAAAAUGUAUGCAAUUAGUGCUGAUUUUCUAGACUGUACUAAUUGUUUCUUUUUUGAUAGAUGAAUAUAUAGUUGCUAAUGUUGAUGGUAUUAAGUUGCUAAUUUUGAUGGAAUUAUUAUAAUUUCCGUCGCUUGUUUCUAUAUUUUGUUUACUGCUGUUCAUUUUACAUGCAAGUGUUACAUAUAUAUACAUAAA